rnacentral:rRNA from 1 species
UACGGGGGGGGGCAAGCGUUGUUCGGAAUUACUGGGCGUAAAGGGCUCGUAGGCGGCCAACUAAGUCAGACGUGAAAUCCCUCGGCUUAACCGGGGAACUGCGUCUGAUACUGGAUGGCUUGAAUCCGGGAGAGGGAUGCGGAAUUCCAGGUGUAGCGGUGAAAUGCGUAGAUAAUCUGGAAGAACACCAGUGGCGAAGGCGGCUCACUGGCCCGGUAACUGACGCUGAGGUGCGAAAGCGUGGGGAGCAAACAGGAUUGA